rnacentral:rRNA from 1 species
AGAGUUUGAUCCUGGCUUAGGAUGAACGCUAGCUACAGGCUUAACACAUGCAAGUCGAGGGGCAGCAUGAUCGAAGCUUGCUUUGAUUGAUGGCGACCGGCGCACGGGUGAGUAACGCGUAUCCAACCUUCCCUAUAGUAGAGAAUAGCCCGGCGAAAGUCAGAUUAAUGCUCUAUGUUGUAUUUAGAAGACAUCUGAAGAAUACCAAAGGUUUACCGCUAUAGGAUGGGGAUGCGUCUGAUUAGGUAGUAGGCGGGGUAACGGCCCACCUAGCCGACGAUCAGUAGGGGUUCUGAGAGGAAGGUCCCCCACAUUGGAACUGAGACACGGUCCAAACUCCUACGGGAGGCAGCAGUGAGGAAUAUUGGUCAAUGGACGGAAGUCUGAACCAGCCAAGUAAGCGUGCAGGAUGACGGCCCUAUGGGUUGUAAACUGCUUUUAUAUAGGGAUAAAGUCGGGGACGUGUCCCCGUUUGUAGGUACUAUAUGAAUAAGGACCGGCUAAUUCCGUGCCAGCAGCCGC